GUACUGAUGAAGAGUCUCAGACUAGGAUGAAACAGCUGUCUAGUAC
rnacentral:hammerhead_ribozyme from 1 species